GACUUAUCAUCUUCACGGAGUUGA
rnacentral:siRNA from 1 species